rnacentral:rRNA from 1 species
UACAGAGGUCCCAAGCGUUGUUCGGAUUCACUGGGCGUACAGGGUGCGUAGGCGGUUUGAUAAGUCUGAUGUGAAAUCCCGCAGCUUACCUGCGGAACUGCAUUGGAAACUAUUUGACUAGAGGAAUGGAGGGGAGACUGGAAUACUUGGUGUAGCAGUGAAAUGCGUAGAUAUCAAGUGGAACACCAGGGGCGAAGGCGAGCCUCUGGACAGUUCCUGACGCUGAGGCACGAAAGCCAGGGGAGCAAACGGG